UAGGGAAUCUUCGGCAAUGGACGGAAGUCUGACCGAGCAACGCCGCGUGAGUGAAGAAGGUUUUCGGAUCGUAAAGCUCUGUUGUUAGAGAAGAACGUUGGUAGGAGUGGAAAAUCUACCAAGUGACGGUAACUAACCAGAAAGGGACGGCUAACUACGUGCCAGCAGCCGCGGCAAUACGUAGGUCCCGAGCGUUGUCCGGAUUUAUUGGGCGUAAAGCGAGCGCAGGCGGUUCUUUAAGUCUGAAGUUAAAGGCAGUGGCUUAACCAUUGUACGCUUUGGAAACUGGAGGACUUGAGUGCAGAAGGGGAGAGUGGAAUUCCAUGUGUAACGGUGAAAUGCGUAGAUAUAUGGAGGAACCCCGGUGGCGAAAGCGGCUCUCUGGUCUGUAAAUGACGCUGAGGCUCGAAAGCGUGGGGAGCAAACAGG
rnacentral:rRNA from 1 species